AAAAAGACAAACCCUGGGUUUCCGUGUCCAACGUUUGACUGUCCGUCUUAUAUGAAUUUUUUUUAUAAUUAGUAUUUUCAUUAUUGUUAGAUGAUAAAACAUGAUUAAUACUUUAUGCGUGACUUGUCUUUUUAAUUUUUUUUAUAAUUUUUUCAAAUAAGACGGACGGUCAAACAUUGAACACGGAAACCUAGGGUUUGUCUUUUU
rnacentral:pre_miRNA from 1 species